UACGUAGGGUGCAAGCGUUGUCCGGAAUUAUUGGGCGUAAAGAGCGUGUAGGCGGCUUGAUUAGUCUGCUGUGAAAGUCCAGGGCUCAACCCUGGAAUGCCGGUGGAUACUGUCAAGCUAGAGUCCGGAAGGGGCGAGUGGAAUUCCUGGUGUAGCGGUGAAAUGCGCAGAUAUCAGGAGGAACACCAAUGGCGAAGGCAGCUCGCUGGGACGGUACUGACGCUGAGACGCGAAAGCGUGGGGAGCAAACAGG
rnacentral:rRNA from 1 species